AGAAAAAGGAAUAUAAAACUGUACGUGACAUAGUUAUACAGUACUGUGCACUUACUUUGUGGAAAACUUUCUCGAGAGCUUAUUUAAUAUGUUUGUGCCACGAAGUUACGAGAAGAAGAGCGUUACGAUGUGAUAUAUGCAAAUUCCCGUGGAUGUUCUGAAAAUGCACCCAAGCAGUGAAGAGAUUACUUAACGUGAAAAUAUGCGCGCGAUGGCGAAGGGGAAAAGGAUCUUGUCAGCCUUGCCGAUUAAACGAGCAAGAAUAUUUUAAGAGGCGAUGUAAUCGACAGACUGUCACUUGUCUGCGCGUGAAGACGGCGAGUACUAACUUUACCGUGUCUGAAGGUCCGAACUUCUACUAGUCUGGCCAACGAUUGCGUACCACUGCCGAGCCAUACCGAUGUACCGUGUUAGCGUACCGUGAGUGCCCGUACACGUUGUAUCCAUUAAUUAUUGGCCAAGCACAUCCGACGACGAAACGUUCGAUGUACUUAGAACGAAAGCGAGAGAGCGGUGCACUAGAGAGAGAGAGAGAGAGAGAGAGAGAGAGAAAGAUUGCAAACUAAAGGAAAGGAGAGAAUGUAUCACGAUUUAUGUAAAAACGAAAAAACAAAAAAAAAAAAAAAGAGAAACUAACAAAGAAACGUUAUGUCGCUAGCUUCUUCACACCUGUAUGUAUUACGCUGUUAUUGGCCGUCGGAUGUCUUGAAGUAAUACGCUUAAAUGGAGAUGAGAACUAAACCUAUUAACUUUGUGGAUUUCCUUUCUCGUUAUUAUCUGUAUCUUCCCACUGAGUAUGUACCGAGAAUAUUGUUCCUUUUAUAAGCUUGCCAGCGCAAGUAAAUGUCGAACAAUCGGACGGUAGAUUUGUAUACAGCGAAAGAGUGCGAAUGCAAAUGCUACGACGGAAGGAGAGAAUGAGCGCGGUAAUGUAAGACCUAGAGAAAACAUAGAAAAGAGGUAUCGAUUGGCGGAGUGAAAGAGAACAAAUUCAGAGUACCAGAGUGAUGGAAAGACAAAGAGAAGAGGAAGGAGAUCCCGUUGUCCUCCAGUGUGUAUGCUUUCAUGUGGAAAGAGAACGAAUCUUCGUGUUACUCGAAUGCUUAAGAAGCUAAUGCCUCUUACGUUUUCUUACUUUUUCGUUACUAGUAUCGUUUGUAAGCAUGAUCUCUCGAUGGAACAUAUACGACACAAACAUACACAUACAAACAUAUGCACACACACCAAAUUUCGCGAUUAGGGUAUAUAUUAGUAAUGAAUUCCAAAAUUAAGGAACGGAGUUAUCUCCGUGAGAGGAGGGAGGAAGGGAGCACACGCAAGAGAAUGAAAGUGAGAACGUGUGAAAGAAAGAAAGAAAGAAAGAAAACUGCGCGAGUGAAUCUUGUGGAAACGAGAGAGUCUCCGUAUUUAUAUCGCUAUCCAGCCACAUAUCGUUGGCGUGAUUAUGCUGCAACUAUGUUGCAAUUUAGCUUGUAGUCUUUUUUUUAGUCGAUUUUUCAUGUGUCACCAGUUUUUAAAUACAACACGACUGACUGCUGGUUAAGUAUGGUUGUGAGCGAUUAAGAAAAUGUUUCCUUAUCUUAUUCGGGAUGUAUGUCCCCUUUUCUUAACGAUAUUUUUGUUUUCUUAUUCAUUCUUGUACUUCGUAUAGAAAAGGUUGUUAUGCUCGUCCCAAUGACGAAUUCGAUCGUCCAUUACUAAUGAUAGAACAAUGAUUGAGUUUGAAAACGAUUAUUUGUAUAUUUGUAAAAUGGUGCGAAUAGAUCGGACCGAGAUCAAUGUAUGUAUGUGUCUUUCAUUUCCUCGCUUUUAAUGAGUUGCUACAACUCGCGACUUAUCGUUCGUUUUUCAAUUAUGAGAACGACAGGCGGUCAUGUUACAGCAAGACUCGAGCUGAUCGCAAAUCAAUCCGUAGAGGAUACGUGAUUUCCGUUGCGUUUCUUUUUUCAAUCGUUUGUUUUGUAAUUAAUACAAAGUGGAAUUUAUUAAUUUUAUUCAUGUGUUGAAAAAUUUACUUGAUAUUUUCUUUUCUUGUAUCGAUUAUACAAGACUUGUUCCUUAAUUAUUUCUUUAAUCCUGACUAUUUUUUGUGUGCAUUCUGUGCAUGGAACUGGUAUCUUCUUUAAUUGUUCCAUUACAUGUAUUUCCAAUUCGUUUUCAUUGUAAGGCAAGGGCUAAAGUUUGUAAAGCUAUUAUUAAAUUUUGAUCUGUCUUUAAAAUAUUUGCCUUGGAAUGUUAGUAACAUUUAUUUAAAAAGAAAAAAAAACGCAUUCAAUUCUAGCUAAUAUGUUAAUCAAUGUGUCGCGUUUUUUUUUUUUUUUUUUUUUUAAGUGAAUUUUUCACGUGAUACAUUUCGCUCUGCGAACAUGAUCUAGAUAAUGUACGGUUUUAAUUAUUAUUAUAAAAGUUUGUGUAGCAUGUAUUCGUUGUUAAAGCAUUCUGCAGCUUGUGUUCGAUGAUUAUUUGCCAUUUAUAUGGAAUUGGCAGCUCAUGUGCAUUAUGAUAGUAUGCCCAUGUAAUGAGUGUGAUUGAUGACGUUAUAGAAAUUUUGAGAAGUUUAUCGAUAUAGUGAGGAGACGUUAUGCUAUGGAAAGAAAAAAUAAAAAUCGGGCGACGAUUCAUUUUUGUAAAUAAGAAUUAUUGGAAUGGAUAUAGAAGUACGCACACGGAAACACGAAAAGUUAAAAUAUGUGAAAUGUCGGAUAUCCGGACAUGUAUCAGCUUCAGAUUAUAUAUACAUAUACAUAUAUGCAUAAACAAUAUCAAUAAUGGCGAUUACUAAGCUGUAUUGUUACUACAGUAAUUACCACUGUCUCGCAACGGCAGUGAUCGACUAAUUUUAUUACCGCGUAAUCAUAAAUGAUGCCAGUGAGAAGUGAAUGUGUUCUUUGUGACGAAAUCGAACGAAGAAGAGUAUGGAAAUUGCUAAUGAAUUAUUCCAUUUUCUAAUUUAUAGAGACAAUUUAAAAGUAUCGAAGAUGCUUUCCGAAGAUAUUUUGUCCAUUUCGUACAUGUCUACAAACACAAAGACAAUGACGUCUGAAGUUUUUGAGCGAGAAUAUUCUAUUAUAUUAAUGGAACGACAUUGUUCACUUUUAACGUGCUUUUGUUAUUCUAUUAGUGGAUUCGUUUUCUUUCCACUUACGAAACUAAUAAUCUAUUAAAGAUAAAAA